rnacentral:rRNA from 1 species
GGUUAAGCGACUAAGCGUACACGGUGGAUGCCCUGGCAGUCAGAGGCGAUGAAGGACGUGCUAAUCUGCGAAAAGCGCCGGCGAGGUGAUAUGAACCUUUGACCCGGCGAUGUCCGAAUGGGGAAACCCAGUGUGUUCCGACACACUAUCGUUAACUGAAUACAUAGGUUAACGAGGCGAACCGGGGGAACUGAAACAUCUAAGUACCCCGAGGAAAAGAAAUCAACCGAGAUUCCCCCAGUAGCGGCGAGCGAACGGGGAGCAGCCCAGAGUCUGAAUCAGCUUGUGUGUUAGUGGAAGCGUCUGGAAAGUCGCACGGUACAGGGUGAAAGUCCCGUACACGAAAGCACACAGGCUGUGAACUCGAAGAGUAGGGCGGGACACGUGGUAUCCUGUCUGAAUAUGGGGGGACCAUCCUCCAAGGCUAAAUACUCCUGACUGACCGAUAGUGAACCAGUACCGUGAGGGAAAGGCGAAAAGAACCCCGGCGAGGGGAGUGAAAAAGAACCUGAAACCGUGUACGUACAAGCAGUGGGAGCCUCUUUUAUGGGGUGACUGCGUACCUUUUGUAUAAUGGGUCAGCGACUUAUAUUCUGUAGCAAGGUUAACCGUAUAGGGGAGCCGAAGGGAAACCGAGUCUUAACUGGGCGUUAAGUUGCAGGGUAUAGACCCGAAACCCGGUGAUCUAGCCAUGGGCAGGUUGAAGGUUGGGUAACACUAACUGGAGGACCGAACCGACUAAUGUUGAAAAAUUAGCGGAUGACUUGUGGCUGGGGGUGAAAGGCCAAUCAAACCGGGAGAUAGCUGGUUCUCCCCGAAAGCUAUUUAGGUAGCGCCUCGUGAACUCAUCUUCGGGGGUAGAGCACUGUUUCGGCUAGGGGGCCAUCCCGGCUUACCAACCCGAUGCAAACUACGAAUACCGAAGAAUGUUAUCACGGGAGACACACGGCGGGUGCUAACGUCCGUCGUGAAGAGGGAAACAACCCAGACCGCCAGCUAAGGUCCCAAAGUCAUGGUUAAGUGGGAAACGAUGUGGGAAGGCACAGACAGCCAGGAUGUUGGCUUAGAAGCAGCCAUCAUUUAAAGAAAGCGUAAUAGCUCACUGGUCGAGUCGGCCUGCGCGGAAGAUGUAACGGGGCUAAACCAUGCACCGAAGCUGCGGCAGCGACGCUUAUGCGUUGUUGGGUAGGGGAGCGUUCUGUAAGCCGUUGAAGGUGUCCUGUGAGGGGUGCUGGAGGUAUCAGAAGUGCGAAUGCUGACAUAAGUAACGAUAAAGCGGGUGAAAAGCCCGCUCGCCGGAAGACCAAGGGUUCCUGUCCAACGUUAAUCGGGGCAGGGUGAGUCGACCCCUAAGGCGAGGCCGAAAGGCGUAGUCGAUGGGAAACAGGUUAAUAUUCCUGUACUUGGUGUUACUGCGAAGGGGGGACGGAGAAGGCUAUGUUAGCCGGGCGACGGUUGUCCCGGUUUAAGCAUGUAGGCGGAGGUUCCAGGUAAAUCCGGUUCCUUGUUAACGCUGAGGUGUGAUGACGAGGCACUACGGUGCUGAAGUAACAAAUGCCCUGCUUCCAGGAAAAGCCUCUAAGCAUCAGGUAACAUCAAAUCGUACCCCAAACCGACACAGGUGGUCAGGUAGAGAAUACCAAGGCGCUUGAGAGAACUCGGGUGAAGGAACUAGGCAAAAUGGUGCCGUAACUUCGGGAGAAGGCACGCUGAUAUGUAGGUGAAGCCCCUGCGGGUGGAGCUGAAAUCAGUCGAAGAUACCAGCUGGCUGCAACUGUUUAUUAAAAACACAGCACUGUGCAAACACGAAAGUGGACGUAUACGGUGUGACGCCUGCCCGGUGCCGGAAGGUUAAUUGAUGGGGUUAGCGGUAACGCGAAGCUCUUGAUCGAAGCCCCGGUAAACGGCGGCCGUAACUAUAACGGUCCUAAGGUAGCGAAAUUCCUUGUCGGGUAAGUUCCGACCUGCACGAAUGGCGUAAUGAUGGCCAGGCUGUCUCCACCCGAGACUCAGUGAAAUUGAACUCGCUGUGAAGAUGCAGUGUACCCGCGGCAAGACGGAAAGACCCCGUGAACCUUUACUAUAGCUUGACACUGAACACUGGUCCUUGAUGUGUAGGAUAGGUGGGAGGCUUUGAAGCGUGGACGCCAGUCUGCGUGGAGCCAACCUUGAAAUACCACCCUUUAAUGGCUGGUGUUCUAACGUAGACCCGUAAUCCGGGUUGCGGACAGUGUCUGGUGGGUAGUUUGACUGGGGCGGUCUCCUCCCAAAGAGUAACGGAGGAGCACGAAGGUUAGCUAAUCCUGGUCGGACAUCAGGAGGUUAGUGCAAUGGCAUAAGCUAGCUUGACUGCGAGAGUGACGGCUCGAGCAGGUGCGAAAGCAGGUCAUAGUGAUCCGGUGGUUCUGAAUGGAAGGGCCAUCGCUCAACGGAUAAAAGGUACUCCGGGGAUAACAGGCUGAUACCGCCCAAGAGUUCAUAUCGACGGCGGUGUUUGGCACCUCGAUGUCGGCUCAUCACAUCCUGGGGCUGAAGUAGGUCCCAAGGGUAUGGCUGUUCGCCAUUUAAAGUGGUACGCGAGCUGGGUUUAGAACGUCGUGAGACAGUUCGGUCCCUAUCUGCCGUGGGCGCUGGAGAAUUGAGGGGGGCUGCUCCUAGUACGAGAGGACCGGAGUGGACGCAUCACUGGUGUUCGGGUUGUCAUGCCAAUGGCACUGCCCGGUAGCUAAAUGCGGAAGAGAUAAGUGCUGAAAGCAUCUAAGCACGAAACUUGCCCCGAGAUGAGUUCUCCCUGAGACUUUAAGUCUCCUGAAGGAACGUUGAAGACUACGACGUUGAUAGGUCGGGUGUGUAAGCGCAGCGAUGCGUUGAGCUAACCGAUACUAAUGAACCGUGAGGCUUAACCUU